GUGGGGAAUAUUGGACAAUGGGGGGAACCCUGAUCCAGCCAUGCCGCGUGUGUGAAGAAGGCCUUUUGGUUGUAAAGCACUUUAAGUGGGGAGGAGGCUUACCUAGUUAAUACCUGGGCUAAGUGGACGUUACCCACAGAAUAAGCACCGGCUAACUCUGUGCCAGCAGCCGCGGUAAUACAGAGGGUGCGAGCGUUAAUCGGAUUUACUGGGCGUAAAGCGCGCGUAGGUGGUUAAUUAAGUCAAAUGUGAAAUCCCCGAGCUUAACUUGGGAAUUGCAUUCGAUACUGGUUGGCUAGAGUAUGGGAGAGGAUGGUAGAAUUCCAGGUGUAGCGGUGAAAUGCGUAGAGAUCUGGAGGAAUACCGAUGGCGAAGGCAGCCAUCUGGCCUAAUACUGACACUGAGGUGCGAAAGCAUGGGGAGCAAACAGGAUUAGAUACCCGGGUAGUCC
rnacentral:rRNA from 1 species